rnacentral:rRNA from 1 species
AUUGAACGCUGGCGGCCGGCCUAACCCCUCCAUGUCGGACGCGUGGCGGCCGGGUGAGUAAUGUCAGGGAAACUGCCUGAUGGAGGGGGAUAACUACUGGAAACGGUAGCCAAUACCGCAUACCAUCAGAUGUGCCCAGAUGGGAUUAGCUAGUUGGUGGGGUAACGGCUCACCAAGGCGACGAUCCCUAGCUGGUCUGAGAGGAUGACCAGCCACACUGGAACUGGUGCACUGUCCAGACUCCUACGGGAGGCAGCAGUGGGGAAUAUUGCACAAUUGGCGAAAGCCUGAUGCAGCCAGGCCGCGAGUAUGAAGAAGGCCUUCGGGUUGUAAAGUGUUUUCAACGGGGAGGCGUUACCCGCAUAAGAAGCACCGGGUAGCACCGUGACAGCAGCCGCGGUAAUUC